GGUUAAGCGACUAAGCGUACACGGUGGAUGCCCUGGCAGUCAGAGGCGAUGAAGGACGUGCUAAUCUGCGAAAAGCGUCGGUAAGGUGAUAUGAACCGUUACAGCCGGCGAUGUCCGAAUGGGGAAACCCAGUGUGAUUCGUCACACUAUCGUUAACUGAAUACAUAGGUUAACGAGGCGAACCGGGGGAACUGAAACAUCUAAGUACCCCGAGGAAAAGAAAUCAACCGAGAUUCCCCCAGUAGCGGCGAGCGAACGGGGAGCAGCCCAGAGUCUGAAUCAGCUUGUGUGUUAGUGGAACGGUCUGGAAAGUCCGACGGUACAGGGUGAUAGUCCCGUACACCAAAAUGCACAGGCUGUGAACUCGAAGAGUAGGGCGGGACACGUGGUAUCCUGUCUGAAUAUGGGGGGACCAUCCUCCAAGGCUAAAUACUCCUGACUGACCGAUAGUGAACCAGUACCGUGAGGGAAAGGCGAAAAGAACCCCGGCGAGGGGAGUGAAAAAGAACCUGAAACCGUGUACGUACAAGCAGUGGGAGCACCUUCGGGUGUGACUGCGUACCUUUUGUAUAAUGGGUCAGCGACUUAUAUUCUGUAGCAAGGUUAACCGUAUAGGGGAGCCGCAGGGAAACCGAGUCUUAACUGGGCGUUAAGUUGCAGGGUAUAGACCCGAAACCCGGUGAUCUAGCCAUGGGCAGGUUGAAGGUUGGGUAACACUAACUGGAGGACCGAACCGACUAAUGUUGAAAAAUUAGCGGAUGACUUGUGGCUGGGGGUGAAAGGCCAAUCAAACCGGGAGAUAGCUGGUUCUCCCCGAAAGCUAUUUAGGUAGCGCCUCGUGAAUUCAUCUUCGGGGUAGAGCACUGUUUCGGCUAGGGGGUCAUCCCGACUUACCAACCCGAUGCAAACUACGAAUACCGAAGAAUGUUAUCACGGGAGACACACGGCGGGUGCUAACGUCCGUCGUGAAGAGGGAAACAACCCAGACCGCCAGCUAAGGUCCCAAAGUCAUGGUUAAGUGGGAAACGAUGUGGGAAGGCACAGACAGCCAGGAUGUUGGCUUAGAAGCAGCCAUCAUUUAAAGAAAGCGUAAUAGCUCACUGGUCGAGUCGGCCUGCGCGGAAGAUGUAACGGGGCUAAACCAUGCACCGAAGCUGCGGCAGCGACACUAUGUGUUGUUGGGUAGGGGAGCGUUCUGUAAGCCUGCGAAGGUGACCUGUGAGGGUUGCUGGAGGUAUCAGAAGUGCGAAUGCUGACAUAAGUAACGAUAAAGCGGGUGAAAAGCCCGCUCGCCGGAAGACCAAGGGUUCCUGUCCAACGUUAAUCGGGGCAGGGUGAGUCGACCCCUAAGGCGAGGCCGAAAGGCGUAGUCGAUGGGAAACAGGUUAAUAUUCCUGUACUUGGUGUUACUGCGAAGGGGGGACGGAGAAGGCUAUGUUAGCCGGGCGACGGUUGUCCCGGUUUAAGCAUGUAGGCUGGUUGUCCAGGCAAAUCCGGAUAAUCAAGGCUGAGGUGUGAUGACGAGGCACUACGGUGCUGAAGUAACAAAUGCCCUGCUUCCAGGAAAAGCCUCUAAGCAUCAGGUAACAUCAAAUCGUACCCCAAACCGACACAGGUGGUCAGGUAGAGAAUACCAACCAGGCGCUUGAGAGAACUCGGGUGAAGGAACUAGGCAAAAUGGUGCCGUAACUUCGGGAGAAGGCACGCUGGUGUGUAGGUGAAGUCCCUGCGGAUGGAGCUGAGACCAGUCGAAGAUACCAGCUGGCUGCAACUGUUUAUUAAAAACACAGCACUGUGCAAACACGAAAGUGGACGUAUACGGUGUGACGCCUGCCCGGUGCCGGAAGGUUAAUUGAUGGGGUUAUCCGUAAGGAGAAGCUCUUGAUCGAAGCCCCGGUAAACGGCGGCCGUAACUAUAACGGUCCUAAGGUAGCGAAAUUCCUUGUCGGGUAAGUUCCGACCUGCACGAAUGGCGUAAUGAUGGCCAGGCUGUCUCCACCCGAGACUCAGUGAAAUUGAACUCGCUGUGAAGAUGCAGUGUACCCGCGGCAAGACGGAAAGACCCCGUGAACCUUUACUAUAGCUUGACACUGAACAUUGAGCCUUGAUGUGUAGGAUAGGUGGGAGGCUUUGAAGCGUGGACGCCAGUCUGCGUGGAGCCAACCUUGAAAUACCACCCUUUAAUGUUUGAUGUUCUAACGUUGGCCCCUUACCGGGGUUGCGGACAGUGUCUGGUGGGUAGUUUGACUGGGGCGGUCUCCUCCCAAAGCGUAACGGAGGAGCACGAAGGUUAGCUAAUCCUGGUCGGACAUCAGGAGGUUAGUGCAAUGGCAUAAGCUAGCUUGACUGCGAGCGUGACGGCGCGAGCAGGUGCGAAAGCAGGUCAUAGUGAUCCGGUGGUUCUGAAUGGAAGGGCCAUCGCUCAACGGAUAAAAGGUACUCCGGGGAUAACAGGCUGAUACCGCCCAAGAGUUCAUAUCGACGGCGGUGUUUGGCACCUCGAUGUCGGCUCAUCACAUCCUGGGGCUGAAGUAGGUCCCAAGGGUAUGGCUGUUCGCCAUUUAAAGUGGUACGCGAGCUGGGUUUAGAACGUCGUGAGACAGUUCGGUCCCUAUCUGCCGUGGGCGCUGGAGAAUUGAGGGGGGCUGCUCCUAGUACGAGAGGACCGGAGUGGACGCAUCACUGGUGUUCGGGUUGUCAUGCCAAUGGCACUGCCCGGUAGCUAAAUGCGGAAGAGAUAAGUGCUGAAAGCAUCUAAGCACGAAACUUGCCCCGAGAUGAGUUCUCCCUGAGACUUUAAGUCUCCUGAAGGAACGUUAAAGACGAUGACGUUGAUAGGCCGGGUGUGUAAGCGCAGCGAUGCGUUGAGCUAACCGGUACUAAUGAACCGUGAGGCUUAACCUU
rnacentral:rRNA from 1 species